CCGGGGGCGGGCCGGGGGCGGGGCGCCGAGCACGGCGCCGCGGGAAACCCAGCCUCCGGCGGCGCCCACGCCGCCCCUCCGCCGGGAACAAACGCCUUCCAAUCGAAAGACCGUCUCCCGGGUACCCCUAAAGGUGUGUACUGCUACUGCCAGGAGGCCUAGAUCUUCUGACCGCCCAAACCAUCCGCUACUGUGUUACAGUGAAGUCCAUUGGAGUCAUCCGCUUAGCAAAUAGGAGGAAUGGAUUUCGUCUUGGGGAAGCUGAAGGAUUUGAAGGCCCCGUGUUGUGCUGAAGGUUCAGGAUGAAGAUGAAGGCCUUAAAAACAAAAGGACGAAUUAAAUGAUUGUGCGAAAUGAAGUAAUUGCAAUAAAAGCAUGGAGAAAAAGCCAGAUGGAAGAAUUGUUUUAAAACAAGUAACCCACCAGUGGAUGAGAAGACACUACAACUUCAGUUAAUUCUAGCAACCAAAUAUAAGCUCCACGUUGCUCCCUGGACUUUGGGUUUCCUUGCGACUGGUUCUCGCCCUCCUCCGUUAAUAGAGCAUUGCAUUUUGCUAGACCAGGCUUUCUUUAUUUCUGGGAUGAUUCUUCCUCAGCCUUAAGGAAUUACCUCUUCCAGGAAGCCUUUUCUAAGUAUAGCAGGUGCCUUUGCUUCCGCGUCAUAGUUCUUAUCACACUCCGCUCUCUGCCACCGUCAAUUCUACUUCAGGAAGGAAAGCGGAGUGUGGGCACAUCAGCUCCAGACAUCCUAGGCCUUCUGAUAAACAAAUAUCAGCAUUUUUGACGAGCAGCAUUUGCCCAGUUUUUCUCCAAAUACUCCUCUUAAGAGUGGAAAAUGGCACGGAAAUGGGUUGGCAUUGAUAACUGUUGUUGGCAGACAUCACCUCUCACAGCUUUUCGCCUUGUCAAAGGAUGCCUCGUUCCCGAGGGAGUUCUGUAAGAGCAAAGCAAACGACCUGUAGGCAUAAGUCAGCGAGUUUGCUGCACGAGAGGACAUUCAUCUGGAAAGUCAGACACCCCUGUCAACUUCCAAUUUCUGGAGGUGGCAUUUCUUGAGGCCCUCCCUCUUGGAUUGGAGGUUUCCAGCCCAGGCGCCUGUCUCUUUACUAGGCUAUAAAGGACUUCCCUUCCCAAGGCCUCCUCAAGGUCCCUGCUGGCUGCGGCAGUCUCGGCAUUUAGGUGUUUCUCUUAACCAGCAACAAGAGAGGGAUUUAGAGGACCUUCUUGACUUAAAAGCAUUUUCUGGAAGUUGCACGUCCUAUUCUCCUUACAGUCCUCAGCGGUUUGUUUACCUGAAAUAUAUUCUACAAUUAUGUGCUCAAAAUGGAUGGUCUGUUUUCCGAGUUUGCCUGAUUUGUGAAUCCCCACUUAUUUUUUCAGAGUGGUAAGUAAAUAUUCCCAAACAAUGUAAGAAACAGUGAUGGCUUCCCCACAUUGUUGCCUUGCACGUCAGACACUAUUUUAAAGAUGGUCAAGGAAAAUGAAUAUACAAUUAUUUGUUUGAAUGUUCUUAUCCCUAUGCUUUCAAUAUUCGUACUGCUACUAUCAGCUUAUAUCUACAUGAGCACUUGACAAUUUUAAAGAAUUCUAACAUGCGUUUCAGCAAGAAUUUAAAACUCAGGUUAGAAUGUAUCAGCCUUAAUGUUAGCAUGAAUAAAAGGGGUAACGUGUUCUUUGUGUGCCAAUGAGUCACUUCCAGUUUUUUAGCUACCUAUUAUGUUUCAUCGGAAAUGUUUGCAUAUUUAUAUCAACUUUCUGUUUACCCCUUAGAUUAUUCAUGCCUGAGUGGAGUGUCAGCUGCAGAAAUAGGAGGUUUAAUGAGUUUCAAGGGGAUACCUCAUUCCAAGAACAAAAACUGGGAAAGGAAUAGAACACAAGUGCCUGCAUACUAAUAUGGCCCCUUGUUAGAACCAGUCUCAGAGCACAGGAUGAUAGACAGUCCCUGCACAGUAUACAUCUCUUUUCGGGAGGCUUUUACUUCCAGUUCGACUUUGUAUAAAUUAAUCUCCUACAGACACCACACUAAUUCUAAAUAUAUAAGCGACACAUACCCAGAGGUCAAGGUUACUGUGACUCGACCCCGAAGACUGUAUUUCUCUGCAUCUGCACAGGUUUUAUUUUACAGACUACUGCUUUGUUUUGCUGCCUUUUUUUCCUUUUUUUUUUUUUUAAUGAACCAUUGUUUAUAAUGGAAAUGAUUGCCAUAAAAAUAAACAUUUAACUUAUUAGCAUUCUACAUGUUCUUUUUCUUUGAAAGAGAGCCUUAAUUUACGUUGGCAAAGAUAAUGCAUCAUAAAGCACCUUUUUUUUAACAUAUUUAACAUAUGCUAUGCAGUGCUAGUCUAUUGGGACAGCAAGCCAAGUUAAUUUAAAAGAGUAAAAGUUAAGGUUGAUCUAUGAAGCACAUAAAAUGGAGAACUAAGACAAUUGUCCGUACUCUUCAGGUUAAAAAUCCCAACAUACAUAAGUAAAAAGAGAAAAAUUUUGGCUCUAUGUAAUUUAGAUGCAUUAUUUUAUGUGUAUUUUAUAUUCUCUGUGUCUGUGCAUGCACAUAUACAUGAAAUUAUAAUCUUGGUAUUCUAAUGUUCAUGAAAAAUUUGAUCUUAAAUUGUACAGUGAAAAUUAAACAAAAAACUUCCAGGGAGUUCCCUGGAACCCAACUAGUAUCCAUGAGAAUACAGAUUCGA